GCGCCUCGACCAGCUGCGAGCGGGAGAGCAGGUGGACGUGCACGUCGAUCGCGCCGGCGGUGAGGAUCUUGCCCUCGCCCGCGAUCACGUCGGUGCCGGGACCGAUCACCAGGUCGGGAUGGACGCCGUCGGCGAUGUCGGGGUUCCCCGAACGGCCCAGGGCGACGAUCCGGCCGUCCUUGAUCCCCACGUCGGCCCGGACGAUGCCCCAGUGGUCGAGCACCAGCGCGUUGGUGAUGACCGUGUCGAGGGCGCCCUCGGCCGAGGUGCGGGUCGACUGCGCCAUCGACUCGC
rnacentral:sRNA from 1 species